AUUGAACGCUGGCGGCAGGCCUAACACAUGCAAGUCGAACGAGUGGCGGACGGGUGAGUAACACGUGGGAACCUACCCAUCAGAGGGGGAUAACACUUGGAAACAGGUGCUAAUACCGCAUAGAUUGAUGGACCCGCGGUGCUUUAGCGAGUUGGUGAGGUAACGGCUCACCAAGGCCACGAUGCAUAGCUGACCUGAGAGGGUGAUCGGCCACACUGGAAUUGAGACACGGUCCAGACUCCUACGGGAGGCAGCAGUGGGGAAUAUUGCACAAUGGGCGCAAGCCUGAUGCAGCCAUGCCGCGUGUAUGAAGAAGGCCUUCGGGUUGUAAAGUACUUUCAGCGAGGAGGCGUUACUCGCAGAAGAAGCACCGGCUAACUCCGUGCCAGCCGCCGCGGUAAUUC
rnacentral:rRNA from 1 species